UACACACCGCCCGUCACACCAUGGGAGCGGGUUCUGCCAGAAGUAGUUAGCCUAACCUGCAAAGGAGGGCGAUUACCACGGCAGGGUUCGUGACUGGGGUG
rnacentral:rRNA from 1 species